GACACGUUGCUCACAGCCUCUCUUCUGGCCCCUGGAGAGAGCUUGGUGUGAAUGAUGUCCAGGGCCUAACAAAGCAAGGGUGCUCCAACAACUGUGGCGUGUUUGUUUUGAUGGAAAACAUGCUGCAAAUGAGGAGAUGGUGGUGUCUCGCUCUCCUGCAGAACUUCCCCAUGCCAUCUGAAGAAGACCGAUUGCAGGACAGAAAACGGCGACGAGUGCAAGGAGGGCUACAGACAGUGGAAAAUGAACAGAACUGGAAACAGGGAACAGGGUUGCUUGUUAUGGGC